UUUUGAUGCAUCUCAAUAUAACUCCCCCUGCAAAACUGCUGUUGGGAGCCUGGGUGAUUUUGUUUUCGAGUCUGAACAGCUGCUUGUGUUUCCCAGGAGAAACCAGUGGAGCUGGCCCAGAGUUUCCUGGCGAAGUGGUCGUCCCUCGGUGGAGAGCAGUGGGAAGCCCCGGCGGCACUGAGCAUCCGUUCAAAGCUGAAGUCAAGAUCACAGCAGAGGGAAAGGAGCUCAUCCUGGAUGUUGAGAAGAAUGAAUAACCGUCCAGCAGAGCAUUACAGAGUGAAGCCUCAUCUGAGGUCCAUAGCAAAGGAAGGGACAGGAGCUCUGCUCCCCUAAUGACCAGUCCUAUGUUUU
rnacentral:lncRNA from 1 species